rnacentral:tRNA from 1 species
UCCUCGGUAGCUCAGCUGGUAGUAGCAAUGGCCUGUUAAGUCAUAUGUCGUCGGUUCGAGUCCGACCCGGGGAGCCA